rnacentral:rRNA from 1 species
AUUGAACGCUGGCGGCAGGCCUAACACAUGCAAGUCGAACGAGUGGCGGACGGGUGAGUAAUGUCUGGGAAACUGCCUGAUGGAGGGGGAUAACUACUGGAAACGGUAGCUAAUACCGCAUACCAUCAGAUGUGCCCAGAUGGGAUUAGCUAGUUGGUGGGGUAACGGAUCACCACGGCGACGAUCCCUAGCUGGUCUGAGAGGAUGACCAGCCACACUGGAACUGAGACACGGUCCAGACUCCAACGGGAGGCAACAGUGGAGAAUAUUACACAAUGGGAGCAAGCCUGAUGCAGCCAGGCCACGUGUAAGAAGAAGGCGUUCAGGUUGUAAAGUACUUUCAGCGGGAAGGCGUUACCCGCAGAAGAAGCACCGGCUAACUCCGUGCCAGCCGCCGCGGUAAUAC